UACGAAGGAUGCGAGCGUUAUCCGGAUUUAUUGGGUUUAAAGGGAGCGUAGGCGGCCUUAUAAGUCAGUGGUGAAAUCCUAUCGCUUAACGAUAGACGUGCCAUUGAUACUGUAGGGCUUGAGUACAGAUGCCGUUGGCGGAAUGUGUCAUGUAGCGGUGAAAUGCAUAGAUAUGACACAGAACACCGAUUGCGAAGGCAGCUGACGAAACUGUAACUGACGCUGAGGCUCGAAAGCGUGGGGAUCAAAC
rnacentral:rRNA from 1 species